ensembl:lncRNA
CUGGAUAUAAGGAGAAAGGUUUUUUUACGACAAGGGUGGCAAGGCACAGGCACAGGUUGCCCAGAGAAGUGGUGGAUUCUCCAUUCAAGGUCUGGCUGGAUGGGGCUCUGAACACUGAUGGAGCUGUGGGUGUCCCUGUGUGCUGCAGGGAGUGGGACCAGAUGGCCUUUAAGGGUCCCUCCCAUCUCAAACCAUUCUAUGUUUCUAUGAGUCCCAACAGGCGACGUUGUUUUGGACAGCAAGAAGGAACAACUGGAUGGACAGAAGUCCCUUCUUGCUGCUCAGCUUUGGGGCUAGAGCCCACGUCUAACCUCCCAGUCAGACCCAGUGACUGACUCACUCCCUUAUCCCAUCCAUUACCCAGUGGGAAUUUAUCUUGUGGCAGAGAUGUUUAUAAACCUUCACCCAUCUGGAAGCCAUUAUCUCCAAAUAAAGUUUAUUUGAAGAAAUUGUAUUAAAUGAUUACAUGUUAUUUUUACCUCGGCUAGAAAGCAAACUGCUCUACCAUUGCUGAGAGGUUCUCUUUGGUCCAGACUUGUUUUAAUAUUUUAUCCAGACUAUCAGCAUCAGGGCAUGGCAGCUCAUUUGGCUGUUUUGCUAUAGCUGUCUGGUGGUCAGACAUAAUUUAUUAAGAGUUUGACUCUUUAUUUAGGUUUAUUUGUUACAGUUUCUCUUCUCCAUCUUCUGUUAGGUCUGUCCAUUGCCCGUCUAAGUUGUCUCUUUAUUUACUUUCUGCAUUUUGCAGCAAAAAUUCAAAAUACAUAUUGAAGUCCAGAAAGGAGAGAGAAGAAAGCAGAUAAAAAAUAUCCCAGACUGGUUGCCAAACCGUUGUCACUUGUGUUGUGUACAGGGAAAAAGCUGGACAAGACAGUUGCAGGGCUGACUCCACUCCUAGUACAAAGAAAAUUAAAAAGCCAUGAAGGGCUAAAGCAGAACAGUAACCAUCAGCAAAUGCACAGAGUGGCAAUCCAGAGGUGAACUUCAAGGAUCGUGCAAUCUUACUGCAGAUCUUCAAGCUACGGAUUGAUGUCACAAUGGAGAUUACAGGCAUACACAGCAUCUCCUACUCAUGCCAUUCACAACUGGCAAUUGUUUGUAUGGAUUAUAUCACCACCAUCCUGAGGCAAGCACAGAAGGAACUACAGAAGACCAAACAGCAUCAUCUGUUCUUUCUUCUGUGGAGGUGUGGCACCGAGGGACAUGUUAGUGAGCAAUACCGGUGACCCUGCAAGAUCUACGAAGGAGACUCAACCACUGUAAGGUUCACAGCUGCUAGACACCGGAGCCUUCAAGCAGAAAACAGAAAUCCUUUGAAAUCAGAGUGCUCUGCUACCAAUUGCUAUCUGCAAUCUUUGCAGAGACCACGAGUCCCCAUUGCUGAUUGUAAAGGCUUGAGCAAGUCCUGUCUCCUCACCUAAGGGCAUUACAUAUUUAUCACAUCUCUUCUUGAUCUCCUGCUUCCCCUUUAGAAGUCUAGGACACUUCAGCCUCACCCUGUGUACACAUCCUUCCUCCUACCCACCACCCCUCUGCUUGACCUCAUCUCCAUUGCUGGAAUCUGGCAGGACAAAGACGGAGUGAAUUCACACUUGUAUCUCCUGCUGCUUGUUAUGAUGACCUGGCGUAUUUCUCCUGCUGGAGAGUUCAUUUAAAUUCUUACAUUCCCAGCCAAGCCUUUGUAGAUGAGCGAAUCCAUCUGCCUUGUUCUGUUUUCCCCCUUGGCGUGCUCCAAGCUUUCCUUGUCCUGUCCUGGCCGUGGUGUCCAAGUCAUGCCUGCCUCAUGGAGGGACAGGAAAGAUUUGUGUCAUGUAUGUCUACAAGGUUAAAUUCUCCAACCGGUGGGUUUUCACAUAUCUUUAUCCCAAGGUUUUUGGCUUCCUCUCUCCUAUUCUCAGUAUUUUUAACUCUUUUAUUCACUCUGCAAAUACGCUAUCUGCUGAUCUACCCAGAAGAAACAUCCCCAUACCUUGCCAUUGGUGGCUGGGAGAUAAGAACUCACACAGGAGGAACAUCAGGGGACACAAAUUAAUACUUAUUUUUUGGUAGGAUGUUGUCUGUUUGUAGCAAAAAUUCGUAAAUAUCUGAGCUGCUAUCCCCAGGUCUGCCUUCGUGCGUGGUUUGCGCCCUCAAAGCUCUAUUUCUCUGCCUUCCCUUAGCCCAUAUCUCCAACACAUCUCCAUCAGUUGGAGGAAAUAAGGGAGCAGAUGAGAUAGGAUGAAAAAACAAGUGGAAAUCUUGGGGGAAAAAAAAACAACCCACAGGUAGAUAGGUAGAUGAAAAGACUGAAUUGACCAUCUUGCUGGUAGAGUUUUGCUUAUGUAAAGAGAUAUUAGAGCCUUCUGAACAGCAUAUUACCAGCAUAGUGGCAUCCUCCACAGUGGAAAAAAGUAUCAGAAACCUCCAUUUGCAGGGUGUUUCCAUUGGGUGACCAUGAUUUUGUUGCUUCUAAGACGUGAGAGAUGUGAAUUAUUCCUUAUACUGAGCUGAAAAAUGUCCACUUACACAGGCAAAGUCUUUUCCUACAUCUGCCAUUGCCAUAGAGCUGUUGAUAUUUUUAACCUUACACUUUGUCACUGGUUGCAAAACAGAAAUGUCCAUCCUUCCAACAGCAGGACAUCCCUUUUUCUUCUUUUGCAGCUGUCUAGCACUACAUCCAGCCUUGUCUAGCGCACUCUAAUCAGCAUGAGCAAUUAAAAGAGUCUGUGCACGGGACUGAAUUUCAGUCAGUUUUACUUCUGGAGGUGAGAAAACCCAUCAGCAUUAGGAUGGAUGGCAGCACACACAAACAAGCGUCAGGGCACGUAGGCGCUGCUCAGCCCUCAACCAUGUCCCUCAGUGCCACAUUUCCACAGGUCUGGAACACCUCCAGGCAUGAUGACUCCACCACCUCCCUGAGCAGCCUGUGCCAAUGCAAUGCCAUUCUUUCAAAGAAGAAACGCUUCCUAAUACCCAACAUGAACCACCGCUGGCACGACUUGAAGCCAUCACCUCUCAUCCUAUCGAUGUUACCUGGGAGCAGAGGCCAACCUCCACUUAGCCACAACCUUUGGGCAGUUGUAGAGAGCCAUAAGGUCCUCCCUGAGCAUCCCCUUCUCCAGACUGACCCAUCCCAGUUCCCUCAGCCACUCGCCAGAUCUCCACACCCUGAG